rnacentral:misc_RNA from 1 species
UUUUUCAGCAAGAAAAGCCAACAAUCAACUUGAGCAAAAUAAUCGUCAAUUUACACAAACCCAAAUCCCUCUCAUCUUCUUCAAAUUCACAAAUCUAUUUUGACAAACACAAUCAAGCGAUUUUUGUAUUUCAAUUCUAACAUAGAAACAUUGGGAUCGAGAAGAUCCAAGCUUUAACUAUAAACCCAAAUCAAAUUCAAAAAAAAAAAAAAACACUAGAAAUAGUAAAAUAAACCAUUACCUUACCUAACCCUACACAUACACACAAGAAACCCUAAUUCACUA